CUCCCCGGCCGGGGAGGGGCUUGCUAUCGUAACCUGGUAGAGCGGUCGGCUGUUAACUGAUUGGU
rnacentral:tRNA from 1 species